GCGAUUACAGCUCAGAAGCAUAUAUUUUAAAAUUGGUACAACACAGAAAUUAGCAUGGUCCCUGUGCAAGGAUGGCACACAAAUUUGUGAAGCAUUUCCAUCAAGU
ensembl:snRNA U6 U6 spliceosomal RNA